GCAAGUCGAACGGUAGAGGGGGCAACCCCUUGAGAGUGGCGAACGGGUGAGUAAUAUAUCGGAACGUGCCCAGUCGUGGGGGAUAACGUAGUGAAAAUUACGCUAAUACCGCAUACGAUCUAAGGAUGAAAGCGGGGGAUCGCAAGACCUCGCGCGACUGGAGCGGCCGAUAUCAGAUUAGGUAGUUGGUAGGGUAAAGGCCUACCAAGCCAACGAUCUGUAGCUGGUCUGAGAGGACGACCAGCCACACUGGAACUGAGACACGGUCCAGACUCCUACGGGAGGCAGCAGUGGGGAAUUUUGGACAAUGGGCGAAAGCCUGAUCCAGCCAUUCCGCGUGCAGGAUGAAGGCCCUCGGGUUGUAAACUGCUUUUGUACAGAACGAAAAAGUUUCUAUUAAUACUAGGAGCUCAUGACGGUACUGUAAGAAUAAGCACCGGCUAACUACGUGCCAGCAGCCGCGGUAAUACGUAGGGUGCAAGCGUUAAUCGGAAUUACUGGGCGUAAAGCGUGCGCAGGCGGUUAUAUAAGUCAGAUGUGAAAUCCCCGGGCUCAACCUGGGAACUGCAUUUGAGACUGUAUAGCUAGAGUACGGUAGAGGGGGAUGGAAUUCCGCGUGUAGCAGUGAAAUGCGUAGAUAUGCGGAGGAACACCGAUGGCGAAGGCAAUCCCCUGGACCUGUACUGACGCUCAUGCACGAAAGCGUGGGGAGCAAACAGGAUUAGAUACCCUGGUAGUCCACGCCCUAAACGAUGUCAACUGGUUGUUGGGUCUUAACUGACUCAGUAACGAAGCUAACGCGUGAAGUUGACCGCCUGGGGAGUACGGCCGCAAGGUUGAAACUCAGAGGAAUUGACGGGGACCCGCACAAGCGGUGGAUGAUGUGGUUUAUUCGAUGCACGCGAAAAACUUACCCACUUUGACUGUACGGAAGGAU
rnacentral:rRNA from 1 species